AGUAACGGCGAGUGAAGCGGCAACAGCUCAAAUUUGAAAUCUGGCCCCCAGGGCCCGAGUUGUAAUUUGCAGAGGAUGCUUUGGGCGAGGUGCCUUCCGAGUUCCCUGGAACGGGACGCCAUAGAGGGUGAGAGCCCCGUCUGGUCGGACACCGAGCCUGUGUAAAGCUCCUUCGACGAGUCGAGUAGUUUGGGAAUGCUGCUCAAAAUGGGAGGUAUAUGUCUUCUAAAGCUAAAUAUUGGCCAGAGACCGAUAGCGCACAAGUAGAGUGAUCGAAAGAUGAAAAGCACUUUGAAAAGAGGGUUAAAAAGUACGUGAAAUUGUUGAAAGGGAAGCGCCUAUGACCAGACUUGGGCCCGGUGAAUCAUCCAGCGUUCUCGCUGGUGCACUUUGCCGGGCACAGGCCAGCAUCAGUUUGGCGCGGGGGACAAAGGCUUCGGGAAUGUAGCUCCCUCGGGAGUGUUAUAGCCCGCUGCGCAAUACCCUGCGCCGGACUGAGGUACGCGCAUCGCAAGGAUGCUGGCGUAAUGGUCAUCAGCGACCCGUCUUGAAACACGGACCAAGGAGUCGUCUUCGUAUGCGAGUGUUCGGGUGUCAAACCCCUACGCGUAAUGAAAGUGAACGCAGGUGAGAGCUUCGGCGCAUCAUCGACCGAUCCUGAUGUUCUCGGAUGGAUUUGAGUAAGAGCAUACGGGGCCGGACCCGAAAGAAGGUGAACUAUGCCUGUAUAGGGUGAAGCCAGAGGAAACUCUGGUGGAGGCUCGCAGCGGUUCUGACGUGCGAAUCGAUCGUCAAAUAUGGGCAUGGGGGCGAAAGACUAAUCGAACCUUCUAGUAGCUGGUUUC
rnacentral:rRNA from 1 species